UGUGACAGCCCCUUCACCUCCAAUCUCUCCUCAAACACGUGAAGAUACGAAGAAAAGUAUGGUUGUUUGCAGUCUGACUCCGCGCUAGGCUUUGGCACCAGUAAUUGGUCACAGGCACACACACCCCCAAUCAGAGGCGCGCACCCCGCCCGGUCCCGGAACUGUCAAGCGGGCUGACAGCUGGCACACCAUCCGGGGGCCCUCCAACCGCUCGCAGAGAGCCCCCUCCUUAGUCACCUUGACAUGGCUCACCUGCCUGGGCCUCCGCUCUGGUCCAAGGAAACUUUUUCCUCCUUCCCAGGAAGGAGCUCAGUUACAGCAAUCAUGGAAGUGCAUCUUAAGAAGGAGGCGGCAUAGAACUGAAGGAUCCCGGAAUGCUAAAUUAUUACCCUGCGCAACUGCCCAGGAGAGUCCCAGGACCUACAACAGAAUCUGCAUAAGCAAGAAAUAAACUUGUGUUGGGUUAAGCCGCUAAAAUACUGAAGUGGCUGUUGCCCAUCAUUGCUUAGCCUAGCUCAUGAACACAGUAUUCCCCCCUUAUCCGAGGUUGUGCUUUGUGGUUCCAGUUUCCCAUGGCCAAUGACAACCAGGAAAUGUUAAAUGGAAAAAUUCUAGAAUAAACAACAAGCUUUAAAUUAA